GACGAANGCUGGCGGCGUGCCUAAUACAUGCAAGUAGAACGCUGAAGGAGGAGCUUGCUUCUCUGGAUGAGUUGCGAACGGGUGAGUAACGCGUAGGUAACCUGCCUGGUAGCGGGGGGAUAACUAUUGGAAACGAUAGCUAAUACCGCAUAAGAGUAGAUGUCGCAUGACAUUUGCUUAAAAGGUGCAAUUGCAUCACUACCAGAUGGACCUGCGUUGUAUUAGCUAGUUGGUGAGGUAACGGCUCACCAAGGCAACGAUACAUAGCCGACCUGAGAGGGUGAUCGGCCACACUGGGACUGAGACACGGCCCAGACUCCUACGGGAGGCAGCAGUAGGGAAUCUUCGGCAAUGGACGGAAGUCUGACCGAGCAACGCCGCGUGAGUGAAGAAGGUUUUCGGAUCGUAAAGCUCUGUUGUAAGAGAAGAACGAGUGUGAGAGUGGAAAGUUCACACUGUGACGGUAUCUUACCAGAAAGGGACGGCUAACUACGUGCCAGCAGCCGCGGUAAUACGUAGGUCCCGAGCGUUGUCCGGAUUUAUUGGGCGUAAAGCGAGCGCAGGCGGUUAGAUAAGUCUGAAGUUAAAGGCUGUGGCUUAACCAUAGUACGCUUUGGAAACUGUUUAACUUGAGUGCAAGAGGGGAGAGUGGAAUUCCAUGUGUAGCGGUGAAAUGCGUAGAUAUAUGGAGGAACACCGGUGGCGAAAGCGGCUCUCUGGCUUGUAACUGACGCUGAGGCUCGAAAGCGUGGGGAGCAAACAGG
rnacentral:rRNA from 1 species